AGAGUUUGAUCCUGGCUCAGAACGAACGCUGGCGGCGUGCUUAACACAUGCAAGUCGAACGUGAAAGUGGCUUCGGCCAUGAGUAAAGUGGCAGACGGGUGAGUAACACGUGGGUAACCUAUCCCUUGGCGGGGAAUAACCACUCGAAAGGGUGGCUAAUACCGCAUAAGACCACGUCCCUGAUGGGAUGAGGUAAAAGAUUUAUCACCAGGGGAGGGGCCCGCGGCAGAUUAGCUAGUUGGUGAGGUAACGGCUCACCAAGGCGACGAUCAGUAACCGACCUGAGAGGGCGGACGGUCACACUGGAACUGAGACACGGUCCAGACUCCUACGGGAGGCAGCAGUGGGGAAUAUUGCACAAUGGGCGCAAGCCUGAUGCAGCAACGCCGCGUGAGUGAAGAAGGCCUUCGGGUCGUAAAGUUCUGUCCUGUGGGACGAAACAAAUGACGGUACCACAGGAGGAAGCCCCGGCUAACUACGUGCCAGCAGCCGCGGUAAUACGUAGGGGGCAAGCGUUAUCCGGAAUCACUGGGCGUAAAGGGUGCGUAGGUGGCCUAUCAAGUCAGAAGUGAAAGGCAGUGGCUUAACCACUGUAAGCUUUUGAAACUGAUGGGCUUGAGUGCAGGAGAGGUAAGUGGAAUUCCUAGUGUAGCGGUGAAAUGCGUAGAUAUUAGGAGGAACACCAGUGGCGAAGGCGACUUACUGGACUGUUACUGACACUGAGGCACGAAAGCGUGGGGAGCAAACAGGAUUAGAUACCCUGGUAGUCC
rnacentral:rRNA from 1 species